rnacentral:rRNA from 1 species
UUUGGACAAUGGGCGAAAGCCUGAUCCAGCAAUGCCGGGUGGGUGAAGAAGGCCUUCGGGGUUGUAAAGCACUUUUGUCCGGAAAGAAUUCCUUGGCUUUUAUACAGUCGGGGGAUGACGGUACCGGAAGAAUAAGCACCGGCUAACUACGUGCCAGCAGCCGCGGUAAAUACGUAGGGUGCAAGCGUUAAUCGGAAUUACUGGGCGUAAAGCGUGCGCAGGCGGUUUGCUAAGACCGAUGUGAAAUCCCCGGGCUCAACCCUGGAAACUGCAUUGGUGACUGGCAGGCUAGAGUAUGGCAGAGGGGGGUAGAAUUCCACGUGUAGCAGUGAAAUGCGUAGAGAUGUGGAGGAAUACCGAUGGCGAAGGCAGCCCCCUGGGCCAAUACUGACGCUCAUGCACGAAAGCGUGGGGAGCAAACAGGAUUAGAUACCCUGGUAGUCCACGCCCUAAACGAUGUCAACUAGUUGUUGGGGGAUUCAUUUUCCUUAGUAACGUAAGCUAACGCCGUGAAGUUGACCGCCCUGGGGGAGUACGGGUCGCCAAGAUUAAAAACUCAAA